UACGUAGGGUCCGAGCGUUGUCCGGAUUUACUGGGCGUAAAGAGCGCGCAGGCGGUCGUUCAAGUCGAGUGUGAAAGCCCCCGGCUCAACUGGGGAGGGUCACUCGAUACUGAUCGACUCGAAGGCAGAAGAGGGAAGCGGAAUUCCCGGUGUAGUGGUGAAAUGCGUAGAUAUCGGGAGGAACACCAGUGGCGAAGGCGGCUUUCUGGUCUGCUCUUGACGCUGAGGCGCGAAAGCUAGGGUAGCAAACGGG
rnacentral:rRNA from 1 species